GUGGGGAAUAUUGCACAAUGGGGGGAACCCUGAUGCAGCGAUGCCGCGUGGAGGAAGAAGGUUUUCGGAUUGUAAACUCCUGUCGUAAGGGACGAUAAUGACGGUACCUUACAAGAAAGCUCCGGCUAACUACGUGCCAGCAGCCGCGGUAAUACGUAGGGAGCGAGCGUUGUCCGGAAUUACUGGGUGUAAAGGGAGCGUAGGCGGGACGGCAAGUCAGAUGUGAAAUAUACGUGCUCAACAUGUAGACUGCAUUUGAAACUGUCGUUCUUGAGUGAGGUAGAGGUAAGCGGAAUUCCUGGUGUAGCGGUGAAAUGCGUAGAGAUCAGGAGGAACAUCGGUGGCGAAGGCGGCUUACUGGGCCUUUACUGACGCUGAGGCUCGAAAGCGUGGGGAGCAAACAGGA
rnacentral:rRNA from 1 species